GCUUUAAAUUGUAAAUUUCCACAGUGUCGCAUGCGAAAGCAGAUUGUCGCCCUGAACCAUUGCCUGGCUUUACCCCGUGGGCUUCAGGCACUGAAACGGGUCGCACAGUG
rnacentral:snoRNA from 1 species